rnacentral:lncRNA from 1 species
UCUAAUGUCAGCUGCCUGGUCCCACAUACUCACACCAAAUGGCAGAUGCAGGGGAUUUCCAGGAUGCUGUGUGAGCUUGUGCCACUGUGGCCAGCUCAGCUGCUCAGCUCCUACGCUGGCCCAUAAUAGGCUCAUUAUAGCAGUAGUACCAUAGUGUGUGUGUGUGUGUGUGUGUGUGUGUGUGUGUGUGUGUUUUGGGGGGGACAUGGUUAUGUCUAGCUAAAAGUAUAUCAAAUUCUUGGUAGCUAAGAGUGGCUGCAUGGUCCCAUUUUAGCCCCUGAUUUAUAAAUUCGCUUCUAAAGGACUUGGGGGGGGGGAAAGUUUUUGCUUUCUGGAGACAAAUGCUAUCCACUUAGGUUUCCUUCCCUUCUUUUGGCCUGGAAUGCCAAGGUGAUGACUGAGAGCACUGCAGCCAUCUCGGAACCUUGUUGCAUGAAGACGGAGGCCUGGAAUGCAAGGCUUGUGAUGCCAAAAGAAGUGCUGGACCCCGGAGCUGUUCCCGGAUUGCUGACCCAGUCUUUGAACUCAUUUCUGGAUUAUAACCCUGGGUCCACCGAAGCGGCUACUGACACUCUCCCACCACCUGCUUGGUUUCCUCGUGACUGCGUGUGACCAGGAUGGGGUCUCAUGCUUCACCUGGGCAUCUGGACUGGGGCUGCCUCGUCUUUGCGGGCCUCCCUCCUACAGUGCUGAGCUGACUGAAAACACUCAAAAAUCCCAGGCUGUCGGGGCUGGCUCAGCCGUUUAAAAUGCUUACCGGUUGUUCAGAGGACCUGGGUUCGGUUCCCAGCACCCUCAGAUCUGCUCUCCAUCUCUGGUGGCUGGUUCGAGAUGAUCCAAACCCCUCUUCUGACCUCUGUGGGCUCCUGCAUGCAUGUGGUGCUCAUGAAUGCGUUCAGACACACUCACAUGCAGACCCAUGGCACUAGCUGAAGUUCACUCUGCAAGCAAAUACGCUGCCAGCUGCAAUGAAGGUGGAUAAACCCAGCGCCCUUAGUCUUAGAGAUUGCUUGGCAGAUAUGGCAGGUUCCACAGGAUCUGGGAGCUAG